GACGAACGCUGGCGGCGUGCUUAACACAUGCAAGUCGAGCGGAAAGGCCCUGCUUUUGUGGGGUGCUCGAGUGGCGAACGGGUGAGUAACACGUGAGUAACCUGCCCUUGACUUUGGGAUAACUUCAGGAAACUGGGGCUAUUACCGGAUAGGAGCUCCUGCUGCACGGUGGGGGUUGGAAAGUUUCGGCGGUUGGGGAUGGACUCGCGGCUUAUCAGCUUGUUGGUGGGGUAGUGGCUUACCAAGGCUUUGACGGGUAGCCGGCCUGAGAGGGUGACCGGCCACAUUGGGACUGAGAUACGGCCCAGACUCCUACGGGAGGCAGCAGUGGGGAAUAUUGCGCAAUGGGCGGAAGCCUGAUGCAGCAACGCCGCGUGCGGGAUGACGGCCUUCGGGUUGUAAACCGCUUUCGCCUGUGACGAAGCGUGAGUGACGGUAAUGGGUAAAGAAGCACCGGCUAACUACGUG
rnacentral:rRNA from 1 species